rnacentral:rRNA from 1 species
GAUGAACGCUAGCGGCAGGCCUAACACAUGCAAGUCGAGGGGUAACAUAGAGUGCUUGCACUCUGAUGACGACCGGCGCACGGGUGAGUAACGCGUAUACAAUCUGCCUCAUACUAGGGGAUAGCCCAGAGAAAUUUGGAUUAAUACCCUAUAGUAUCUUUUAGAGUCAUCUCUUUAAGAUUAAAGGUUACGGUAUGAGAUGAGUAUGCGUUCUAUUAGUUAGUAGGUGAGGUAACGGCUCACCUAGACCACGAUAGAUAGGGGCCCUGAGAGGGGGAUCCCCCACACUGGUACUGAGACACGGACCAGACUCCUACGGGAGGCAGCAGUGAGGAAUAUUAGACAAUGGGCGAAAGCCUGAUCUAGCCAUGCCGCGUGCAGGAUGACGGCCCUAUGGGUUGUAAACUGCUUUUAUACAGGAAGAAAAAACUCUACGUGUAGAGUCUUGACGGUACUGUAAGAAUAAGGAUCGGCUAACUCCGUGCCAGCAGCCGCGGUAAUACGGAGGAUCCAAGCGUUAUCCGGAAUUAUUGGGUUUAAAGGGUCCGUAGGUGGACAAUUAAGUCAGAGGUGAAAUCCUGCAGCUCAACUGUAGAAUUGCCUUUGAAACUGGUUGUCUUGAGUCAUUAUGAAGUGGUUAGAAUGUGUAGUGUAGCGGUGAAAUGCAUAGAUAUUACACAGAAUACCAAUUGCGAAGGCAGAUCACUAAUAAUGUACUGACACUGAUGGACGAAAGCGUGGGUAGCGAACAGGAUUAGAUACCCUGGUAGUCCACGCCGUAAACGAUGGUCACUAGCUGUUCGGACUUCGGUCUGAGUGGCUAAGCGAAAGUGAUAAGUGACCCACCUGGGGAGUACGUUCGCAAGAAUGAAACCCAAAGGAAUUGACGGGGGCCCGCACAAGCGGUGGAGCAUGUGGUUUAAUUCGAUAAUACGCGAGGAACCUUACCAGGGCUUAAAUGUAGAGUGACAGGUCUAGAGAUAG